ACUCCUACGGGAGGCAGCAGUGAGGAAUAUUGGACAAUGGAGGCAACUCUGUACCAGCCAUGCCGCGUGCAGGAUGACUGCCCUAUGGGUUGUAAACUGCUUUUAUACAGGAAGAAACCUUUUCACGUGUGAGUAACGCUGACGGAUACUGUAAGAAUAAGGAUCGGCUAACUNCGNGCCANCAGACUC
rnacentral:rRNA from 1 species